GGCCUGGCCAAGACAGAAAGAACAGAGAGGAAAAGAUGCAUUUGAACUAUUAAUCUAGUGAUUAACCAGAAACAGGGGCUGAUGGAG